rnacentral:tRNA from 1 species
GCUUUGGGUAGUUUAUUAAAAAUAUUGAUUUGUGGUGUCAGAGAUGUGCUUUUUGUGCUCCAGGUU